rnacentral:rRNA from 1 species
ACAUUGGAACUGAGACACGGUCCAAACUCCUACGGGAGGCAGCAGUGAGGAAUAUUGGUCAAUGGGCGAGAGCCUGAACCAGCCAAGUAGCGUGAAGGAUGACUGCCCUAUGGGUUGUAAACUUCUUUUAUAAAGGAAUAAAGUCGGGUAUGGAUACCCGUUUGCAUGUACUUUAUGAAUAAGGAUCGGCUAACUCCGUGCCAGCAGCCGCGGUAAUACGGAGGAUCCGAGCGUUAUCCGGAUUUAUUGGGUUUAAAGGGAGCGUAGAUGGAUGUUUAAGUCAGUUGUGAAAGUUUGCGGCUCAACCGUAAAAUUGCAGUUGAUACUGGAUAUCUUGAGUGCAGUUGAGGCAGGCGGAAUUCGUGGUGUAGCGGUGAAAUGCUUAGAUAUCACGAAGAACUCCGAUUGCGAAGGCAGCCUGCUAAGCUGCAACUGACAUUGAGGCUCGAAAGUGUGGGUAUCAAACAGGAUUAGAUACCCUGGUAGUCCACACGGUAAACGAUGAAUACUCGCUGUUUGCGAUAUACUGCAA